AAAAGAAGAAGAAGAAGAAGAAGAAGAAGAAGAAGAAAAGAAGAAGAAGAAGAAGAAGAGGAUGAGGAGGAGGAGGAGGAGGAAGAGGAGGAGGAGGAAGAGGAGGAAGAGGAAGAGGAAGAAGAGGAAGAUGCUUCUGGGCUCUCCUGGCUUCAUGGGGGAUGUAAUUCUUAUGCUACGAAGUUCACCAUUUUAAGGACUCGUGUGGUGAAAGGAGAGUACAGGAUCCUUCCUACAAGUUGUCUUCUGACCCCUAUACGCAUGCUACACACCAGUGCAUGCCCCUUUCCCACAAAAUAAAAUAAAGGAAAAUAAAAAC
rnacentral:lncRNA from 1 species